rnacentral:lncRNA from 13 species
CCCCCCCCCUCCCGUCUCCUGGUUCUCCCUUUCUCUCUGCCACCACCUCUUUUUUUCUCCCCCUCCCAUUCUGCCUCGCCUCCCAUCCCUUCAGAGGGGCUGAAAACUGAGCAGGGCAGCUAGCUAAUGUUACUGUCCCUUCACCAGACGGUCAGCUAGCUCUGCUGGUUAGAGACCAGCUAGCUAAUGUUGCUAUCCCUUCACCAGACGGACAGCUAGCUCUGCUGGUUGGCUACCAGCUAGCUAAUGUUGCUAUCCAUUCACCAGACGCACAGCUAGCUCUGCUGGUUAGCUACCAGCUAGCUAAUGUUGCUAUCCCUUCACCAGACGGACAGUUAGCUCUGCUGCUUAGCUACCAGCUAGCUAGCGUCCCUCUACUCCACCUAUGCACCAUCUCUUCUCUGUCCUUGGACCAGAUCACAUGAUCCAGGAAGUCUGAGUAGCAUUCCAGUUCCACUGUGGUAGCUAGAGGACAAAGCAGAAGCACUGCACUCUGGGAAAUGUAUUCUCUGAAGGCCUUGUUGUAGCAUGGGGGUGCUCUGAGGACCUGAUGGAGAGGUGUCCAGAGCUCUGCCUGAUGAAACGGCGCUUCGAUCUCCGCUGACAGGGACUUCACGCGGUCCGGUGAGCUAGGAAGAUUAAAGAAACUCAGAUAAGUGGAGAAGGAGGAAGCCAUCCUCCUGUUGAUGCGGUUUCAUUUGCACCCCGGUGCUCAGUGUCAGUGCCUGCAGGCACAACUCUUCACAGAGGAAGGAAGGGUUUAAGGAAUGAUUGAAGGAAGGAUGCAAGAAAAGGAAGGACUCUCCUCGGGUCUUAAGUCUGGCCUCUUUUAGCUUUAUCCAAUGAUCACCAGAUUCUUUAUUUCCUGACGCGGACCGACUACAGUUUCUUUGCUCUAGUUGUGUUGUUGGAAUGUUUUCUAGGCAGCACAAUUGUAGUUGUCUCACUAGAUCCUCCUGUAGCAGAGAUGCAGCACAGCAUCCUACUCCCUUAUUUAGGGCACAACUUGACCCCAUAGGCCUUUGGUGAAAAGUCGUGAGCUAUAUAAGGGAUAGGGGUCCAUAGAUUUGGGAUGCAGCCCAGCCCAGGACUGCCCUCUGCUGUGUGAAUAAGGACCUAAACAGAUUUGUAAGAAUAAUGUAGUUCUGUUCUUGAGGAUGAGAAACUGUAAGGUCUUAUUUUUGUCGAAUUUAAAUUUGGCAGACCCCCCCCCAAUAGACAUGCGGACAUUUCGUAAAGAUAGUGACGGUAAAUCGGAAGUUGUGUGUAAACAAAGAUCAAUAUAUUAUUAAGUACUUGAGACAUGACCAUUGUGGGUUUGUUGGUAUAAAACCAAUAGGCCUACGAUAUGAACGAGCAGCGCUACGAUCGAUCGAUAGACAAGUCUCAUCUGUAAACUCAAGACAAUCACGCAUGAAUAUCUGCAGGAGAUGCAUUGACAAACAUAAUUUGAGGUAUACGUUUGUAUACCACAUGUAUUAAAGAGAGUCAUUUUAUUGUCACGAUAAAAUAAAUGUGGUUGGCAGGACAGUAUUGAGGACGUAGUAUAAUGAGGACAAUGAAUAAACAAACUGCUAUGGACAAAUUACAUUAAAAUGGUUAUUGUUGGAGGGUUUCAUUCCUCCUGGGUCGUGUUCAUUUAGGCACCAAACGGAAGAAAACAGACUGUGACAGGAAGGGACUAACUGAACUAUCUGUCCAAUGAGGAACACUUGUUUUCAUUUUCCACUGCAAAACGUUUUGCGCUAAUUUAAUACGGCGUUGGAGUUGUCCAAUAAGAAACAGUCUUUUUUUUUUUUUUUUUUUGGUGUCUUUUGCAAAAAUAUUUUCUGUAACAUCCCCUAAUGAACAGCACCCAGUUUUCUGGAGAGGGGGACGAUCAUUGUCAUUGUGUGUGUCAGUGCAACUUCAAUAGGAAACAUUUUAAAGAUUAUUUUGGUCCCAAGAUUUUCCAUGGAUGUAUUGGAACCAAACGAAACGGCGCGGGACCUACCUAAAAUGGUCCAAUAGAAACUCUCUUGUUAUGACCAAUCAUUUCCCGUUUGCUUACGGUGUACACUAGUGAACACACCCUUUGACUCCCCUCCCUCCCUUGGCAUUACUUCAGGUGUGCAUUACCCAAAGGUGUAAUUGUUUUUCUUGAUGGUAGCAUUUUGUUAUUGAAUUAAACAGACUUCUACCAGAACUCGUACUGCAUGUAUACAGAAACCAACUAAACAAGCUCGCAAUGGUGACGAGAGCAAACCAACUUCUCUGCAGACAAUAUUCUGCCGUCGUGUGGAUUGAGUCCAACACAAAAACAUCCAUUGAAUCAGCCUUGAACAUGGCUGGAUUUUCAGAAAAUCCUGUUUUCUUCUUAAUUUUAACAUUUUGAUAUCAUCAAUCAACAAAUAAAUACAUCUGUAUGAAAAGCCAAAAACCCUGUACAUCUUACUGUUCACUACAAAUGUCUAAACCAGUCUAUCAAACUGUAGUAUAAUAAAAAUGUAUAUAAAAGUUAAAAGCAUCUUUCCUUUUUUUCCCCUCCCAAAUACACAUUCAGGGAUGUCACACUAGAACCUAUAAGCUGUACACUGAAGUCUCUUUAAAAUAAACAUUAGAACCAAGUGGAGCGGAGGGGGGAACAUAUUGGAGCGGAGNNNNNNNNNNGUGGUGAUACUUGACUUGUGCAGGGUUGACACUUGACUAGUUAAGGAGUAAGGUCUGAGGAGGAAUGAUGUUCUUGAAAUUAAAUUUACACUUUAUUAUUUAAAUAAGUUUAAUUUAGACUUGUCUCAAUAUAAUACAACUUUAUUCUCAACAUUCUGAGAAUUUGAAGUGUUAUUCAUGCAUUUAAAAAAUAUAUAUUUGUAAAAAUCAAAAAUCAACUUUGGGUACAAAAACAGACCUACUCUGCUUCUUUCUCAAUUUUCAGACAGAAAUGGGGUGUGGCAUAAGUGGUUCAUCCAUGUGUUUUUUCUGGUCAUGCGCGCAGCAACCAAUGUUGCUAGUUUGUUAGCUAAGCUAGCCACUGUAGCUAGUUUGUUAGCUAAGCUAGCCACUGUAGCUAGUUUGUUAGCUAAGCUAGCCACUGUAGCUAGCCAGUAACUCCUCCAGCACAGGAUGUUGGUGGCACCUUAAUUUGGGAGGACAGGCUCGUGGUAUUGGCUGGAGCGGAAUAGGUGGAAUAGUAUCAAACACAUGGUUUCCUAUUUGUUUGAUGCCGUUCCAUUCGCUCCUUUCCAGCCAUUAUUAUGAGCCGUCCUCCCGUCAGCAGCCUCCACUGCCCUCCAGUACGUGUUGACGUCAUUUUACAGGAUUUGGUUUUUGGACGGAAGCUGUAGAGAUCGGUAAGAAAUGGCACUUCUGUAGCUAAAUAUCUUAUUCAGCCAUUUUGUUUUUAAACAUUAAAUGACCUGGUAUGAUGGGGUAUUGAUCAAUUAUACAGUUUAAAGCUGUUGUUUUUGCCCAAAGUCAACCUUUUUAAGUACAUCAUUCUUUUUUUCUUCUCUCUUCGCUUAGCCCUAAUACUCUUCUGAAGUUGAUUUACCGUUCUCCUAGCAGCAGGAUAUUAUGCUGGCGGCACGAUUGCAGAUUUCUUCCCUUCAAAGUAAGAGUCCCGCUGCAUAGACAUGCUAAACUUUGGGAAAUAAAUUAUCAUUUGACGUAUUUUAUUGGUAAUAUUGUAUUUAUUGAACAGCCAGUUAACCCACUGUCCCUAGACCAGUUAACCCACUGUUCCUAGACCAGUUAACCCACUGUUCCACUGUUCCUAGACCAGUUAACCCACUGUUCCACUGUUCCUAGACCAGUUAACCCACUGUCCCUAGACCAGUUAACCCACUGUUCCUAGACCAGUUAACCCACUGUUCCUAGACCAGUUAACCCACUGUUCCUAGACCAGUUAACCCACUGUUCCUAGACCAGUUAACCCACUGUUCCUAGNNNNNNNNNNAUAUUGGAGAGGAGGGGGGAACAUAUUGGAGCGGAGGGGGGAACAUAUUGGAGCGGAGGGGGGAACAUAUUGGAGAGGAGGGGGGAACAUAUUGGAGCGGAGGGGGGAACAUUGGAGCGUUUUUUUUUGCCAAUGUAUUAAAAUGUUUUAAAAAACAGACUCCUUCUUUACACAAGUAUUCAGACCUUUUGCUAUGAGACUCGAAAUUGAGCUCAGGUGCAUCCUGUUUCCAUUGAUCAUCCUUGAGAUGUUUCUAGAACUUGAUUGGAGUCCACCUGUGGUAAAUUCAAUUGAUUGGACAUGAUUUGAAAAGGCACACACCUGUCUAUAUAAGGUCCCACAGUUGACAGUGCAU